UACGUAGGGGGCGAGCGUUGUCCGGAUUUACUGGGCGUAAAGGGUGAGUAGGCGGUAAUAUGUGUCAGAUGUAAAAGGCUAUGGCUUAACCAUAGUUGGCAUUUGAAACUGUAUUACUUGAGUGCAGGAGAGGUAAGUGGAAUUCCUAGUGUAGCGGUGAAAUGCGUAGAUAUUAGGAGGAACACCAGUGGCGAAGGCGACUUACUGGACUGUAACUGACGCUGAGUCACGAAAGCGUGGGUAGCAAACAGGAUUAGAUACCCUGGUAGUCCACGCUGUAAACGAUGAGUGCUAGGUGUUGGGUAGCGAUAUUCAGUGCCGAAGUAAACACAAUAAGCACUCCGCCUGGGGAGUACGGUCGCAAGACUGAA
rnacentral:rRNA from 1 species